rnacentral:rRNA from 1 species
UGGGGAAUUUUGGACAAUGGGGGCAACCCUGAUCCAGCCAUGCCGCGUGAGUGAAGAAGGCCUUCGGGUUGUAAAGCUCUUUCGGCGGGAACGAAACGGCGAACGCUAAUACCGUUCGCUACUGACGGUACCCGCAUAAGAAGCACCGGCUAACUACGUGCCAGCAGCCGCGGUAAUACGUAGGGUGCAAGCGUUAAUCGGAAUUACUGGGCGUAAAGCGUGCGCAGGCGGUAACUUAAGUCAGCUGUGAAAUCCCCGGGCUUAACCUGGGAACUGCGGUUGAAACUGGGUCACUAGAGUUUGGGAGAGGGAAGUGGAAUUCCAUGUGUAGCAGUGAAAUGCGUAGAUAUAUGGAGGAACACCGAUGGCGAAGGCAGCUUCCUGGCCCAAAACUGACGCUCAUGCACGAAAGCGUGGGGAGCAAACAG